ACCCACUCCAGUAUUCUUGCCUGGAGAAUCCCAAGGACAGAGGAGCCUGGCGGGCCACAGUUCACGGGGUCGCAAAAGAGCUGGACGUGACUGAGGAGACUUCGCAUGCACUUACGCACGCGCUCUUAGUCUCCUUUAGUUUCCUACCCUCUCCAAGAGUUGGGCUUCCCUGGUGGCUCAGAUGGUAAAGGUGGCUCUGCCUGCAAUGCAAGAGACCUGGGUUCGAUGCCUGGAAGAUUGGAAGAUUCUUUGAAGGAGGGAAUGGCUCCAUACUUCUGGGUAUUCGUUUUUAACUGAAUAUAAAGACAGUUCAAAGUCUCUGACAGUGGGUCAUUUGUACAGAGUUGGUUCACUUUCAGAGGCAAGAUGGGUUAGGUGAAACUGAUGUUACUGCAGGUUAUCUGAUAUAUCUCUUCAAGCAGUUAGAAAAAAAAAAAUGCAUGUUGUAAAAAAAAGCCUUCCUUGAAAUAGGAAGUGACCUCUCACAUUUGCUGUGUGACUUUGAGAUACCCAAUUAGCCUCUCAGAGCUUCCUCUUAUUCCCUUUCAGUAGUAUUAGUAAGGUUUAUCUUGCAGAGUAGUUGUAAACAAAAAAGAAGAUAAUGUACAAUAAAGAGCUUGAGAAUGUUCAGAGGUGUCC
rnacentral:lncRNA from 1 species